rnacentral:lncRNA from 1 species
AUUACAAUUAACAUUCCUUCAAUCUUCUGAUUAGGUAUCAACGGUACUCUAUCUAUGCAUCCGCUCACUCACAAAUCCAUACCAUAACCAACCAUGGACAUCUUGUAACUCUGAGAAAAAAAGAAAGAUAAAAGGGUGUGAGCUUUACAACCCAGUAAGAAUUCUCAUAUCACAUCAAUAUAAUAAUAUAAUCUGAAAAUAAAGAUAAGCAAUAACACAUAAAAGCCGAUAUUCAAUGUCCAGAAUAUUGUAAAUAUUUAUAGAUUAUCUGUUUUAAAAAGAGAUGUAUUAUCAUAUGUUAAUAAGUGAAACAAUUUUAUUCAACGAUUGUUUCAUGUCUUAUCUUUCUAUAUUCUUUUAUUAUCACAUCUUCUUUAAUUCUUUUCUUUUUGGCUUUGGCUUUGGCUUUGACUUUGGACUACCAGGAUCAUGCGACGAUCUUUUAUUCGGAUCGAUUUCUAUGAUCUUCCUUAGAUCGAAAUAUUCAUGAUCUUUCUCAAAUCAAAAUGGCCAUGAUCUUUCUCGAAUCAAAUUAUUCAUGAUCUUUCUCGGAUCAGAUUCUUCCACACAUAAGCUUGUGGGGGCUGUCCCAAGCAUAAGCUUCUGGCAAGCUAUUCCACAUGACAAGGUCAGUCCAAACCAUAUUUCUUUUUCUUUUUAUUUUCAUGAAAUUAUAAUAUUUUACUUCAUUAAUCAAUUCAAAUUUUGCAAUGUAAUAAAUAUGUCAUACCCAUAUAAUCAUGCCAUCAAUCACUGAUACAUAUGUUUUGAUAUAACAUACUUCAUGCUCAAAAUCACAUAAAUAAUAUAACAGUGUCUCAGAUAUAACAAUUUCAUAGAUCUCAAAUUCAACGAUGCAAAAUCAAUGAAAUAAACCAACGAUAAAAUAACAUAUAUAAUGAUGAUCAUGUACAGAGAUUCUUACCUUUACCGGUGACUGAUCCAAGCAUAGAAAUCAAUGUUCUUCUUUGAUUUAUGAAUUUCUUUAACAAAAUAUUUCACUCGAUAUCAUAUGCAGACAAUCAUCUCUUCAUGACCCUGAUCAAUAUAAAAAUCACAUAUAGAGAAAUUACUGAUAAUCGAUUCUAAUAACACAGAUCGAGAACCUCUCUUAGGAUUAAUCAAAAUUAGGAUUUGUCUAAGUAUCUGGAUCCUCCACUGAUCCAUAAGACUUCUAGAGAGAAAAAAUUCAUAAAGAGAGAGAAAAUACUAGAGAGAGAAAGUAGAGAGAGAAAAUGAAGAGAAAAUCCUCAUAUCCUUCAGAUGAGGCAAUCAUGGUCGAGAUCAUCAGAGGUCCUAUCAAGGUGACUUAAUAUGAAUCAUGUGUUAUAAAUUUUGAAUAGGAUCGAAUUGGGAUCAGAUCUACCGCACGAAUUUCGGAGCAAUCUCAAAUCAUUUUAUUUUCAUCUCAAGUUUAUUCUAGGAUCUGUGAUGCAGUUAGAGAGAGAAAAACUCUAGAGAGAUAAAAUUCAUAAAGAGAGAAAAAAGUCUAGAGAGAGAAUCUAGAGAGAGAAUCUAGAGAGAGAAACUGAAGAGAGAAGGUAGAGAGAGGAAAGAGGAAGAAAAGAGGGAGAGGAGAGAGAGAAAAUUCUCUCUCUUCUUCUUCUAUUUUUUUUCUAUUUUUGUUUCCUUUAUUUUUAUUUUUUCUUUGUUCUUUGUUCUUUUUUUUUUCUUUUUUUCUUUUUCCUUUUUUUUUCUUUUUCUUUUUCUUCUUUUUUUUCUUUCUCUUUCUUUCCUGUUUUCUUCUUCCUUUCCUCUUCCUUGGCCGAACAGUGGGAGAACCAGAGGGAAAGAGACUCGAUGGCACGAGCUCCGACGAGGGGCGACGAUGUCUAAUCGACGGCAACAGAGCAAGGAGAGGUGGCGACGAGGUUCGACCGACGAGAAUCUUAGAGAAAAUCAGAAAAAAAAAUAGGGGAUCCACUCCUUACCUCUUGUUUUCCGAUCAUUGGUCGGUUGCCGACAACCAAGACCCAUAGGGAAGGAAGAGAAAGAGAUGGGGGUCCGAUCUCGGGGAGAGACACCAUAACCGACGGUGUCGGUGGCCGAAAAGAGAGGAAAAGAACUCAUUCAAAAUAGAGAAAACAAGGCAUCUAUCUUUUGUGGAUUUUUCGGCAAAUCUGACGGCCGACGGGGAUGCACAGCACCGUGGAAAGGAGGAGAAGGAAAAGAGGAAGGAGGAGAAGAAUUUACCUCAUGCUUCAGCAGCAUCACUGACUCUAAUUUUUGGCAAGCAUGGGUACAGGAGGCCUCGACUUCAAUUGGAGAAAACAAGGAGAAAGAAAAGAGUGAGUGACCGGUGAUCAUCUUGGAUUGCUGAAGGAGGGAGAGAGGCGUCUUAUAGAGUGGAGGAGAGGUCGAAUCCCCCUCAGAUUCCAACUUCUCCUCCAGUGACUCAGGUGGAAGAAGACUCCCAACAGGAGUCUUCUUCGUUUCUUUCUUCUUUUUUUUAUUG